rnacentral:tRNA from 1 species
AGGGUGAUAGUUUAAUCUAAAACGUCAAGUUGCAAACUUGGAAUUGAACUGCUUCUCACCCAU